UACGUAGGGUGCAAGCGUUAUCCGGAAUUAUUGGGCGUAAAGAGCUCGUAGGCGGUCUGUCGCGUCUGCUGUGAAAACCCGAGGCUCAACCUCGGGCCUGCAGUAGGUACGGGCAGACUAGAGUGCGGUAGGGGAGAUUGGAAUUCCUGGUGUAGCGGUGGAAUGCGCAGAUAUCAGGAGGAACACCAAUAGCGAAGGCAGCUCGCUGGGACGGUAUUGACGCUGAGGCGCGAAAGCCAGGGGAGCAAACGGG
rnacentral:rRNA from 1 species